rnacentral:rRNA from 1 species
CGCCUGUUUAUCAAAAACAUCGCCUUUUGCCUUUCAAUAAAAUAAAGGUACAACCUGCCCAGUGAGACAUUUCAACGGCCGCGGUACCCUGACCGUGCUAAGGUAGCAGCAAUCACUUGCCCUUUAAUUGGGGGCUAGUAUGAAUGGUCAAACGAGGGUGAACCUGUCUCAUUAAGGCCUUACCAAAAAUUAUCCUCCACGUGAAGAGACCUGGAUAUAAUAAAAAGACGAGAAGACCCUGUCAAGCUUUACACUGCCCGGGCCUAUCAAUUACUAGCCCAGCCACGUGUUUUGUUGGGGCAACACAGGAACACACGCUUCCUCACUAUAACUUCAACUUCACUAAACAAUCCGACAGCGUCGAAUAAAGACAAAGCUACUGCAGGGAUAACAGGCUAAUCUGCUUCGAGAGCCCACAUUGACAAGCAGGCUUGGCACCUCGAUGUUGGCUUAAGAACCCUUAUUGGGGCAGCCCCCAAUAGAAGGAGGUUUGUUCAACCUAUAAUUUCUUACGUGAUCUGAUUCUCCAGACCGGA